rnacentral:snRNA from 1 species
UACCAGUAUAACUUUCUU